UACAGUAAUUUCCCUGUCCAGGA
rnacentral:piRNA from 1 species